UAAGGGAUGCAGGUGUUGCCCAUGCUUCUCGGUGCAUCAUGCUCAGGAGCAGUCAGGUAUACCUGUCUACCGCCCAUAAGGAAAGACAUAUAUUCCUAGGCAUUUACUUGAACAGAAGAUUGGGUCCCAGAGGCAAAAAUAACAUGGAAAGAGGUGUGAUAAGUUCCUGCGCCAUCUGAAUGAAUCAGAUAAAGCAAUUCAGCUAGCUUUUUAUUCACAGAACGAGUGUACUAUACAUCAGGAUUGGGAAAUUCCUUGUCUUCCAGAUGUUGUAUGCCUGUUCCCAUAAGUCCCCUUUGAAAUGGCCAGUGAUCGGAUUGAUAAUACCCCAGCAACUUCUAGAAGGUCACAGAGAUUGUGUCAUACAAAAUCCAUCAAAAUUUGAUGAUCCUUCAUAUUCCAACCUCCUGAGAGACCGAGUAGGAUGAAUCAGGGACUAUUACACAGGGAAUCCACAGGCUGGAGAACCUACAG